rnacentral:rRNA from 1 species
UACGUAGGGGGCAAGCGCUGUCCGGAUUUAUUGGGCGUAAAGCGCGUGUAGGCUGCUUGGUAAGUCUGCUCUGAAAGCCCGGGGCUCAACCCCGGGAGGCGGGUGGAUACUGUCAAGCUCGAGUCCGGAGGAGGAGUGUGGAAUUCCUGGUGUAGCGGUGAAAUGCGCAGAUAUCAGGAGGAACACCGGUGGCGAAGGCGGGUCUCUGGGCAGUAACUGACGCUGAGGAGCGAAAGCGUGGGGAGCGAACAGG